rnacentral:rRNA from 1 species
AUCCGGAAUUAUUGGCGUAAGAGCUCGUAGGCGGUUUGUCGCGUCUGCUGUGAAAUCCAGAGGCUCAACCUCCGACCUGCAGUCGGUACGGGCAGACUAGAGUGCGGUAGGGGAGAUUGGAAUUCCUGGUGUAGCGGUGGAAUGCGCAGAUAUCAGGAGGAACACCGAUGGCGAAGGCAGAUCUCUGGGCCGUAACUGACGCUGAGGAGCGAAAGGGUGGGGAGCAAACAGGCUUAGAUACCCUGGUAGUCCACCCCGUAAACGUUGGGAACUAGUUGUGGGGUCCAUUCCACGGAUUCCGUGACGCAGCUAACGCAUUAAGUUCCCCGCCUGGGGAGUACGGCCGCAAGGCUAAAACUCAAAGGAAUUGACGGGGACCCGCACAAGCGGCGGAGCAUGCGGAUUAAUUCGAUGCAACGCGAAGAACCUUACCAAGGCUUGACAUAUACGAGAACGGGCCAGAAAUGGUCAACUCUUUGGACACUCGUAAACAGGUGGUGCAUGGUUGUCGUCAGCUCGUGUCGUGAGAUGUUGGGUUAAGUCCCGCAACGAGCGCAACCCUCGUUCUAUGUUGCCAGCACGUAAUGGUGGGAACUCAUGGGAUACUGCCGGGGUCAACUCGGAGGAAGGUGGGGAUGACGUCAAAUCAUCAUGCCCCUUAUGUCUUGGGCUUCACGCAUGCUACAAUGGCCGGUACAAAGGGCUGCAAUACCGCGAGGUGGAGCGAAUCCCAAAAAGCCGGUCCCAGUUCGGAUUGAGGUCUGCAACUCGACCUCAUGAAGUCGGAGUCGCUAGUAAUCGCAGAUCAGCAACGCUGCGGUGAAUACGUUCCCGGGUCUUGUACACACCGCCCGUCAAGUCAUGAAAGUCGGUAACAC